rnacentral:rRNA from 1 species
UACGUAGGGUGCAAGCGUUGUCCGGAAUUAUUGGGCGUAAAGAGCUCGUAGACGGUUUGUCGCGUCGAAUGUGAAAACCCGGGGCUCAACCCCGGGCCUGCAUUCGAUACGGGCAGACUAGAGUUCGGUAGGGGAGUCUGGAAUUCCUGGUGUAGCGGUGAAAUGCGCAGAUAUCAGGAGGAACACCGGUGGCGAAGGCGGGACUCUGGGCCGAUACUGACGCUGAGGAGCGAAAGCGUGGGGAGCAAACAGG